rnacentral:rRNA from 1 species
GAGUUUGAUCCUGGCUCAGGAUGAACGCUGGCGGCGUGCUUAACACAUGCAAGUCGAACGGAACGUAACCGAGGAAAUUUUUCGAAGUGGAAUCGGUUACGUUUAGUGGCGGACGGGUGCGUAACACGUGGGCAACCUGCCCUGCUUUUCGGAAUAACGCCGGGAAACCGUCGCUAAUGCCGAAUGAUAUGAGAAGAAGGCAUCUUCUUUUCAUCAAAGAAUUUCGAAGCAGGAUGGGCCCGCGCCGGAUUAGCUGGUUGGUGAGGUAACGGCUCACCAAGGCGACGAUCCGUAGCCGACCUGAGAGGGUGAUCGGCCACACUGGAACUGAGACACGGUCCAGACUCCUACGGGAGGCAGCAGUGGGGAAUAUUGCACAAUGGGCGAAAGCCUGAUGCAGCAACGCCGCGUGAGCGAUGAAGGCUUUCGAGUCGUAAAGCUCUGUCGCAGGGGAAGAAAAAGACGUACCCUGGAGAAGCCCCG